rnacentral:lncRNA from 1 species
ACUAAAUUUGUACUGGGCGCUGGCGAAGGGCCUGGCUCCGCCACGCGCGGCCCUCUCGAACUGCCCGUGGGUACGGCGCGCGCUGCUGCCCUGUGUGGCCUGUGCGGGGAACCCGAGGGCCGAAGUGGGCCCCGCCGCAGCACAGGGGGACAAGAGAACCAGGAGCGGGCUGCCUGGGGGCAGAUUCGAACCCGUGCUCCCAGCGGAUAGAAGUAGCACUUGGGGACUCCUAAAAUAUUCAGCCCAAUCCUGAUUCCAGCUGCCCUCUCUAGGCACCUUUCCUCUACCCUUCUUCCAGUUUACAAUUCUGGUGAGUAGAUGUUUCUCUAUCUCUUCUCUUCCAACUCCUGCGCCCAGAGCCAGGAGGACUUCUGGAGCCCGCCCAGCAAGACCCUCUCUCUCCCAUCUUCUGCUCAAGGGCUCGAGGUCUCAGUGGACAGAGCUGAAGAAAAGCCGUCUAUGGAGCCUGCGCCAGGCGCAGACUGGGUCGUCGCAGUCUGGGUCGUCGCAGUCUGGGCCGGGGCGCUGGAAGUCUUACUCACUUCUCAAGAACCCGCAAGGGAUCAGGCCUGACCCUUUGCAAGUGACAGAAUCCAAAGCUUUGAGCUCAUGGGAAAGUGGCUGGAAAGAAGGUCACUGUAGGGCCGCACAGGUCUCUGGCGAGGCUACCCAAGAACAUUUAAAUCCCUGCCCAGAGAAGAAGAGGCUCCAGCUGUCCUGCACCUUCCUGGGAACUGGCAGUCCCUCCGCGCAGGGGUUCUGCAGCGACCGGCAGCGCGAGGAGACAAGGAUGGUGGCCAGUUAACAGAAAAUCAAGGCAGCGGGAAAGGGAGGAAUGGCCUACAGGGGCCAUGCAGGGGCUGCAUGGAGGAAUUGGUCAGUACACACAGAAGUGGAUGGCACUGGGCCAGGCACAGUGGCUCACACCUGUAAUCCCAGCACUUUGGGAAGCUGAGGUGGGUGGAUCGCCUGAGCCCAGGAGUUCGAGACCAGUCAAGACAACAUGACAAAACUCCACGUCUACUAAAAAUACAAAAACUAGCUGGGCAUGGUGGCAUGUGCCUGUAAUCCCAGCUACUUGGGAGGCUGAGGCAGGAGAAUCGCUUGAGGUGGAGGUUGCAGUGAGCCAAGAUAGUGCCCCUACACUCCAGCCUGGGUGACAGAGUGAGACUUUGUCUCAAAUAAAUAAAUAAAUAAGAAGUGGACUGCUGUGGUGUGAGAAUGCACCUGACAGACCUCCAAUUAUGGAGAGCUUACACAGCCAAGGGCCCCAACUGCUGCUCUCUGAAACUCAUCCUGCUUUUGUGCUGAGGCCACACUUCCCACAGGCUGCUCCAGCCAGUGACCAAGCACAGCAUGGACACUAAGACAGGCCCAUUCUGGGAGACGUGGGACUCCUCUGAUGGCCAACUUUGACUUGGGGACUCCCUGAUGGCCUUGCCAAACCUUUUUGAUAAAGCACUUUGGUCUAGGAAGCUUCUACCCGACCUUCCUUCCUCUCUCCUUCACUCAGGGUCAGACUUAUAAUGUGAUCUGACAGUUCCCCCAGCAUUUCCUGGCUCUUUCUCCUUUCCUUUCACAGGUGUUUCUCCUGAGAAAAUUCUUGCAUGUUUAAACCCAAUUUGAGGGAUUAUUGGGAAAAUUAUUGGGACCACUAUUGGAACAGUUGACAAACUGUCACUGGGGGUGUGUAGAUUAAAUGUCAGUAUCGUAUAAAUCCAUGUUAAUUUCCUGGUAGUGAUGACAGCACUGUGAUUAUAUAGGAGUGUGUCCUUGGUGUUUGGGAAUUACAUGGUGAAAUGUUUAGGAUAAUGGGGCAACUUACUUUCAAACGGUUCCCCAAAAAUUCUAGAUAGAUAGAUAGAUAGAUAGACAGACAGGCAGGCAGAGUGAGAAAGAAAGUGAGAAUGGUAAAACAAAUAUAUAUAAUGUUUUGUGGGGAGAAUGAAUAGGAGUUUUUUGUAGUAUUCUUACGACUUUUCCAUAAGUUUGAAAUUAUCAAAAAUAAAAAAUGUUUAAAAC